rnacentral:rRNA from 1 species
CUACACGGGUUUCUAAUCCCGUUCGCUACCCUAGCUUUCGCGUCUCAGCGUCAGAAAACGUCCAGGACCUCGCUUUCGCCACGGGCGUUCCUUCCGAUCUCAACGCAUUUCACCGCUCCACCGGAAGUUCCAGGUCCCCCUACGUCCCUCCAGACGGGGCGUUUCGGUGCCCGUUCCCCGGUUGAGCCGGGGGAUUUCAGCAACCGACGUCCCCAUCCGCCUACACGCGCUUUAAGCCCAGUGAUUCCGAAUAACGUUCGCACGGUUCGUCUUACCGCGGCUGCUGGCAC